rnacentral:tRNA from 1 species
AAUGAAGUGCCUGAUCUAAAGGAUUACAAUGAUAAAGUAAAUAAAGUAUACUAUUAUACCUUCGUUA